AGAGGGGUGCGAGCGUUAAUCGGAAUUACUGGGCGUAAAGGGCACGUAGGUGGGAUGAUUUAGUCAGAUGUGAAAGCCCCGGGCUUAACCUGGGAACUGCAUAUGAUACUGGUCAUCUAGAGUACAGGAGAGGGUGGUGGAAUUUCCGGUGUAGCGGUGAAAUGCGUAGAUAUCGGAAGGAACAUCGGUGGCGAAGGCGGCCGCCUGGCCUGAUACUGACACUGAGGUGCGAAAGCGUGGGGAGCGAACAGGAUUAGAUACCCUGGUAGUCCACGCUGUAAACGAUGAGUACUAGCCGUUGGGGACUUAGGUUCAAAGUGGCGAAGUUAACACGAUAAGUACUCCGCCUGGGGAGUACGGCCGCAAGGCUA
rnacentral:rRNA from 1 species